rnacentral:rRNA from 1 species
GUCUACGGCCACGCCACCCUGAACGUGUCCCAUCUCGUCUGAUCUCAGAAGCUAAGCAGGGUUGGGCCUGGUUAGUACUUGGAUGGGAGACCAUCUAGAAAUACCAGGUGCUGUAGGCA